UAAUGACAGGAAAGAAAAAUGCAGAUCUGUUAAAAUGUAUUUUUAGUUCAAUGUUCAAGGUGUAGAGAGAUUCUGAGCAGGAGGAAGUCUGACUCUAUGCUGCAUUCGUCGUACAAAUGCAUUUGAGCCUCUUAAAAGUCAGCCCAAAAUUGUGACACUUGGAAUAAUAAUCGUGACUGCUGGAAACAUGACUUAGGCACCUGAACAACUUCACUCGCAUAGAUGGCACCAAUGACUGUGUCCAAUUCUACUAAAAAGCAGCCAAGAUCCCAGAAGCAUUUCAGACCACGGAAUGGAGAGGACACUGCCCAACCCAGGGGUGAAAAAAAAAUUAACCCGACUUUUAUUUAAACCAGUCAAUGCCAGAGAGCUUCAACUCUCCAUCUCAGGCCACCGCAUCUCGGCUAAACCAUUCACCUCAGGAAGGCGCAGGUAUAAACCAGGACAAAUAAUCCUCACACAAGUUAAUAGAACACAUGGUACCUGUUAUUCCAUAUACAACUUAUCCGGUAUAUCUUUUAGACAUCCAAAUAGAGGGAUAAACCAAAAAUAAUUUCCCCC